GCAUUGGUGGUGUAGUGGUUAACAUGACUACCUUCUAAGCAGUUGGUCUGGGUGCAAUUUCCAGCCAAUGCA